GGAAUGUCGGGGAGGAGAAGGUGAUGGGAAGGAAAGGGGAUUUGGGUUGCGGAGGGCCGAUGGUGGAUAAGGAGGUGGUGAUGGGGCCGGAGGGUGGCCGAAAAGGGACCCGUCAAGGAUUUAGUGGUGAUAAGGCAGGUUGCUGCCCCUGGAAGAGGCGAUCUCUUGGAAGAAGCAGAGUGGGAUUGGAAUGAAAAAUAAUCCACACACCUGGGAGCCUGGGUGGAUAAAGGAAAGAUGCAAGAAUUCUGGUUUCCAGGCCCAGGAGAAGAGACAGUUCCAUCAUGGUCCAAACUUAUCUAGAAGAAUUUGAGAGAUUGCAGCUCCGGAACAUCUGGAGCCUUCUGAAUUUUGUCUUUGUCCUGAAGAGUUCAGAAUCACCCCAUAUUGAGAAAACUGACCACAGCAAGAUUACCCCAGGUCUUGGGAAGUGAAAUAUGGGGUUAAAAGGGUGGAUGGAAAGUGCCCCCUAAACUAAGUGUUAUCAAAUAGAAACAGAAUAGCAGCAGUUUAACUCCCAGCUCAGCCCCAGGCUGAUCUGAAACCUAAAACUGGUUUCCUUGGGCGAGUGGUGGUAGUUGUUGACACCCACUUAACAUGCUAGGAGAAAGUCUGCUUUCUCCUUUUGUGCAUUUCUGAUUUAGAGCUAUCUCCUUAGUUUUUCCUUUGAGUUUGUGUGUGUGUGUGUGUGUGUGUUGUGUGUGUGAGUUUGUGUGUCCAUAAUAUUUAACUGGUUAGGAUCCUCCCACACACACACACACCCCACCUUGGUUCCCAUGAUCUUUUAGUGGAAUCUGGAGGGUGGCAGAGUGGAAUGAGGGUUGAUUUGCCUGCUGGCUGAAAGGGCCAAAAGAGAGAACACUGGGAUUUAGAGGAAAUUAUCUACUUGUCUUGAGAGGCAGCAUGGUGUAGUGGAUAGAGCUAGCCUCCGAGCCGGGAGGAUACAGCCUGCUAGGGAAACGAUUGCUUAAUCUCUCCAUGAGCCAGCCAACUUUUAAGUCUCAACUGUAGAGAAAGUGCCAAUAUUGGUAUUGGUAGAAAAGGGUCAUCUCUGGGGAGCUCUACACACUGACAAAUCUGGAAAGAAAAAAAAAAUUGAAACAAAAAAACCCAAACAUUUCCCCAGAGUUUUCCAUUGGCCGGGGAAGUCAGAGAAGCCUUUAGGUUCUGGUUUCUGCCCUGUUUCUUUGGACUUGGGGACUGUGGGGCUCAUUGCCCUGAUUCCUGCCCCUUCUCCCACCAAAGAUCCCAAAGAUCUCGGCUGAGGUUGAGUAGCACAUCCUCCUUUAACCCUCCUUUCCCCCCAGUGCACCAAAACUCGGAAAGGAGGUAGGAUAGAUUGAUUGCCAGGCUUAUUGGACGAAGGAAUCUAAAAGGCCCAGCAAUUUCCUCUAGCUACUUUACCUCAAGUGUGGGAGAACUGGGCCUAGAAUUCUGGGAAAGAAUUGUGAAAAGUAGCCUUUAAAGACUGAUAAUGUUGCUGAGCCACAGGCCUGUUAUGGUGCUGGAGGUGUGGGGGUAGAGGAACAAUCACCCAGUUAAUCAUUUAUUAAGCACUUGCUGUGUGCCAGAUUUUCACCCUGAGGGAUGAGGGUACACAGGAAGCCAGUGUGGUAUUUGUUAAUGGGGAGACCACAGGGAAACAGCUGUGUACAUAGAAGAUUUACAUAUAGAGUCAAUGUCAGAAAAUCAAAAAUCUUAGAGGAAACAGUUUAGUGUAGAGGGGUCAAACUCACAGCCAGCAAAAAAUCCUGAUUGCUUGGUGAACCAGAAUAAAAUGUAAUUGGGAAAUGCUUAGCAAAAUUAAAAUUUAUUAAAACAAAAGAAAA